rnacentral:rRNA from 1 species
CCGGGAAACUGGUGAUAAUUCCGAAUAAACCAUUAUUGCUGGAAUGCUUUUUGGUUCAAAGACUUCGGUUGCCUAAGGAUGGAUCUGCGGUCUAUCAGGUAGUAGUGGGUGUAAGGUACCUACUAGCCUACGACGGAUAUGGGUUGUGAGAGCAAGAGCCCAGAGAUGGAUUCUGAGACAUGAAUCCAGGCCCUACGGGGCGCAGCAGGCGCGAAAACUUUACAAUGCGGGAAACCGCGAUAAGGGGACACCGAGUGCCAGCAUAUUAUGUUGGCUGUCCACAUGUGUAAACGGCAUGUGUUAGCAAGGGCCGGGCAAGACCGGUGCCAGCCGCCGCGGUAACACCGGCGGCCCGAGUGGUAAUCACUUUUAUUGGGUCUAAAGGGUCCGUAGCCUGUUUGAUCAGUUCUUCGGGAAAUCUGACAGCUUAACUGUUAGGCUUCCGGGGAAUACUGUCAGACUUGGGACCGGGAGAGGUAAGAGGUACUACAGGGGUAGGAGUGAAAUCUUGUAAUCCCUGUGGGACCACCAGUGGCGAAGGCGUCUUACCAGAACGGGUCCGACGGUGAGGGACGAAAGCUGGGGGCACGAACCGGAUUAGAUACCCGGGUAGUCCCAGCCGUAAACGAUGUUCGCUAGGUGUCAGGGACGGUGCGACCGUUUCUGGUGCCGCAGGGAAGCCGUGAAGCGAACCACCUGGGAAGUACGGCCGCAAGGCUGAAACUUAAAGGA